GAGGCUGAUAAGUCCAAGCAUAUGGUGCCAGCAUCUGGUGAGGCCUUCUUGCUGUGUAAUCUCAUGGCAGAAGAGUGGAAGGACAAGUGAGCACAUGCAAAAGGGAUUGUACAAGAGUGAAGGCAGUUUUCCUACAGAAACCUUCAAAAAAGGAGAUGCAUCCUUCCUUGUUCCUGGCAGUCUUGCAUUUGAGGAAAUCAGUAUGCUCCAACUUAGACUUAUCUUUUAGUCUCCAGAGGCAGAAAAAAAGCAGAAAAGGUUGUUGAAAUUCUUCACAUUGAUUUCAGGGCAAUGAUCUCAAACGGCGCAGUGGGAACCCGCAAAUUUAAGAGGGUAGUUUCCCUGCACAAGCCCUUUUUUUGCCUG
rnacentral:lncRNA from 1 species